UUGCUAGCGUGUCACAGCCACGUUCGCUGACAAGAAAAUUCGGAUUUCCCGCGAAGCGCCAGAAUUGCUACGGUAACGAGUUUUUGUCUUGAAGUUGAGCUAUCCCGCCGAUAGGUAUCCGCUGC
rnacentral:lncRNA from 1 species